UACGUAGGGUGCGAGCGUUGUCCGGAAUUACUGGGCGUAAAGAGCUCGUAGGCGGUCUGUCACGUCGGGAGUGAAAACACGGGGCUUAACCCCGUGCCUGCUUCCGAUACGGGCAGACUAGAGGUAUGCAGGGGAGAACGGAAUUCCUGGUGUAGCGGUGAAAUGCGCAGAUAUCAGGAGGAACACCAGUGGCGAAGGCGGCUUUCUGGACGAUAACUGACGCUGAGACGCGAAAGCGUGGGGAGCAAACAGG
rnacentral:rRNA from 1 species